rnacentral:lncRNA from 1 species
GAUCUGAGACGCAUCUGCAACCUACACUACAGCUCACAGCAACACUGGAUCCUUAACCCACUGAGCAAGGGAUGGACCCACGUCCUCAUGGAUACUAGUAGGGUUCGUUAACCACUGAGCCACGAUGGGACCUCUGCAAAUGGUUUUUAAACUAUGCAGGCAGGAUUUCCUGUUGUGGCUCAGCGGAUUAAGAACCCAAACAGUAUCUAUGCGGAAGCCAGUUUGACCCCUGGCCUCGCUCAGUGGGUUAAGGAUCUGCACUGCCGUGAGCUGUGGUGUAAGUUGCAGACGUGGCUCAGAUCCCGUGUUGCAGCUCCAACUAGACCCCUAGCCUGGGAACUUCCACAUGCUGUGGGUGCAGCCCUAAAAAGCAAAAAUGAAUAAAUAAAAUCUGCAGGCCAAUCAGCACCUCUUACACAUGGUUCCAGGCUUCAGAACCAGUUUGGUACCUUUGACUAAGGAGAUAAAAUCCGAACGCCUCAGCCAGGGCCACUGAAAAAACUUCCCAGGUCUUUGCAGCCACCUUCAGAGGACAGUGCCAUUCUGUGGUAGUAAUCCAGUAACAACACUGCUGAACUCAGCAAGAAUUUGAUUCCUUCCACUGAGGAUACAUUUUCAUCUGUCAAGGAGAGGGAACUUGGUAGGCCGGAAACAGGAGCCCCCAUUUAGAAGUUGAAUCGUGUGUGUGUGUAUGUGUCCCAGGCUCCCAGGCUCAGUUCUGUGGCACGCCCAGUGUCCUUAUUCACAUGGCACCCAGGCUUCAGUGUCCCGGACCCCUGGCAUUCCCACGGGCUCACACCCACUGUCAGUCACUCACCCUCCCUCUUCCUGUUCCAACAGAGGAAAAUUUCUAGCAUGGAGAAACACAACUGGAUCAUGUUAACCAUCCUUUCCAGCUAAUGAAUCCUAGAAAGAAAUAUGUGUUUCUUGAGGUUCCAUGUGUCAAAGUGAAAUUUGCUUUGCUCAUAGAUGUUUCGGGAUAACUUAGGUAAAUCAGCAUUUCUGUUUGGAAAGUCAGUGUUUACCAGUCAACUGUGUAACAGAGUUUCAAUCUGCAGAGUCAGUUUCCAGGAUAACUGAAAAGUUAUGAUCUUUCAGUUGAGGAGGGUGGUGGUGGUGGCAGAGCAGAGCACACCCUGAUGUCUCACCACAGCCCAGAUGUGCUAUUAAGUGACUGUAGACUUUGGACCCAGCUCCGGAGUCUGUUUGGAGGUCAGUGGAGACAAUGCCACUUCCCAGGGCAGUGAGAGUGGAAGGAAACAUACAGAAGCUGCUGGACCUCCAAGCCCAAAACUCUUGACUGAAGCACUGAAUUAAACACCUUAAACCAUGUUUGAAAUUUGGAAUGUGUAAUAUUUAAAACAUGCUAUUUAGAAAAUGUUUUAUCUGUGGUGAUUUUUUUCCCCCAAAGAACUGUUGAAAAACAUUAUGUUGUUGAAUCCCCUCCCCACCUUUUUUUUUAGGGCUGAACCCUUGGCCUGGUAGGGAUCAAAUUGGAGCUGCCAGCCUACACCACAGCCACAGCAACUUGGGAUCUGAGCCGCAUCUGUGACCUACACUGCAGCUCAUGACAAUGCUGGAUCCUUAACCCACUGAGCAGGGCCAGGGAUCAAACUCACGUUCUCAUGGAUACUAGUUGGGUUCAUUACUGCUGAGCCACAAUGGGAAUUCCUGUUGCACCCUUGAUUAGAGGUUUUAUCCCCAUAGUUUUCCUGACUCAAGAGAGAAAAGGCUAUAAAAUUUUCACAAAGAAAGGUUAAGAGUGUCAAGGAACACAUCUGGAAAAAGGGAAACUUUUUAAAAAAAUGUGACUUAGAAGGUCCUUUUCUUCAUCUCUGUUUCUCAGGAGAGGUUCUGUUUCUGAGCCUAGGUAUUGAAGGAUGGACUCAGAGGCUGAGGCAGUGAUGUCAUUAUGUUGGUAAGAAUAGAUCUUUGCUGAGUAGGUGAGAGGUUGAGAUUUAAGAGAAAUUAGUCAAAUCGUUAUAGCGAAAACCAAUGGCCGAUCAUUUCUCACCUCGACCCAUAAAAUCAGAUUCAGAGUCACUGAGUGGUAUUAUAGCUGUAUCUUUUAAAGAGCUAAUUUUGUGCCUAUAAUAACUUCCAUAAUUAUACACAUUGGAAUAGUCAAAUCUCAGGCUUGGGGCCCAGCCAGCUAGUGGAGCCAUCAGAGGUGAUUUCUCCUGGAUGCGUCCCCACUGCAUGUGUAUUGAGUCUAGAGGUGGCGUCAAGGCUUGUCAGACCUGGGCUGCUGGGUUGGCAGGGCCACAGCUUUACACAAGGCAGCAAUUCUUUUAAAUCCUGUCCUCCUGCUCACAUCUGUCACUUAAGAGCAGUUUUACAGAGCAGGUGGCUCACUGCCCACAUUUUCUGCAAGACACACUUCUGGUACAGCUGCUGGGGAACAGCCCUGAGUCCACCUUUGGAGAGAAUGUGAACUGCAGCCCAAAGGUGAGAGCCUAACUUUGAGGAGAACUUGAGGUCAGGACAGGUGGCACUCAACGGAGGAAUUGUUCUAGAAACUAGAGGAAUACUCACUGUUGAAAAUGUGCAUUAGGGGCUUCUGGCAUAAAACAGCUCGGAUCUAGUGUUGCUGUGGCUGUGGUGUAGGCCAGCAGCUACAGCUCUAGUUUGACUCCUAGCCUGGGAACUUCCACAUGCUUCACAUAUGGCCCUACAAAGACAAACAAACAAACAAAAAUAAACUUGUUUAUGGUUCUUUCUUUCUCCUUCCUUCUUCUCUUCCUUCCUUCACCCCUUUUGCCUUUUUUUUUUUUUUUUUUUCUUUUUACAGCCACACUUGCAGCACAUGGAAUUUCACUUUCUUCAUCUCAGGAUUUGACUAUACACUGCAGAGAGACCCUGUAAAUUGGCCACAAGCUGAGGUCGCUGCCCAUGGGCUAAGAUUUUACUCUUAAAACCUUCUCAGACUUUGCAAACUCCAGGUCCGCUACCUGCCUGUCCAGAGUCUCCUCAAGUAUUUGUGGCUGCUUGGGCUCCACCCAGACCUCAAGAGGGGAACUGCAGAGGAGAGGUGGGGCGACAGGAGCUGGGGAGAGGGGGACUGAUAACCAUGCAUGCGGGGGUGGGGUGUGUGUGUGGGGGGGUGGAGAACUGAGCUUGACUUUGGGGUGGCAGUCUCAGGCCAUGGACGGGUCUGAACCUAUGCAGCUGGCCCCAGGGCUAGUUCCCCCUCUGGAAAGAGCCCCCUCCUUUGGGGAUAUGACUUCCACCCUACCCCUAGGACACAGAGGGAAACUGGGUGGCAAGGGAAUGAUGGCUACCCUCACAAAAUAAGACUUCCUGCCAACCCUUAAAGAACAAGUGUUGACCAUAACCUUGGAGCUUGUCUUUUCACCACAUGAUGUAAAUUCUUAAAGGGUUGGAGCAUAGCAAGUAAUCCACCAACUUUAAGGUUAUUAUUUACAAAUCCAUCUUAGAAAUUCUAAUCAAUUCCAUUAUAUGAGAAGAAUGUGCUGAAUCCCCAAAGUCACUUACUUUAAAAAUCCUUCAUAUUUGAAUGUUCAUCCUAACAUGUCAAUUACUGAAUAAACUAGGAACAUUAAAUUUUACUUUUUUCUUUUUAGCACCACACUAGUGGCAUAUUGAAGUUUCCAGACUAGGGGUUGAAUUGGAGCUACAGCAGCAAGUUUAGGCCACAGGCACGGCAACGCCACAUCUGCGACCUACACUGCAGCUUGCAGCAAUGCCAGAUCCUUAACCCACUGAGCAAGGCCAGGGCUUGAACCUGCAUCCUCACAGUUACCAGUUGGGUUCUUAACCUGCUGAGCCACAGUGGGCACUCCCAAUGUUAAAUUUUUUUUAAAGCUUGUGUACUUUGGGUUUUAAACAUCCAGAUUCUCAUCUUCAGGUAAGGUAAAUUUAUGCAUGUGAUUCCAGAAAAAAAGAACUGUAUUCAUUGUGGCAAUUCCUAUAUUGGAAUAACAUUGGCUUAUAUGCAGGGAUUGUUAUGUUACAUGAUAACUUCUAAAGAUUCUGCUUAAAGAAAUGUAAAUUUUAGGCUGACCUAACACUGUGUUUUUAUGAGUUUGGAGGAAAAGGUCCUACUAAUUGGUUCUCUGCAGUCAGAGAUUUCUGUCAAUUUUAGGAGGUAAUUCACAUGGCAAAUGUCAGAAAAUUGCUCACACACAUUCAAGGGAGGCACCACAGCUGGAGGCGUUAUGGGCUUAGGUUUGCCAAUUGUGAGUAUGUAACCCCAGGCAAGUGACCUAACAUUUCUAUCCCCCAGUUUCCUCAUCUGCAAAAUGUGGAAGAAGAAAAAAGAAAGAAGGAAGAAGGAAGAAGGAAGAAGAGGAAGAGGAAGAGGAAGAAGAAGAAGAACUUACCUCAACAGGUCCUUGGGAGAAUUAAACCAAGGAUCCGGGUUAAGGUGCUUAGAGCCCUUAGUGCCGAGAUGCUUGCUAUUGUUUGCUGCUAACACAAAGGUCUUCUAGGAGCCCGUGAGAGCAUGUGUAAAUUCCUGGGCCAGGGAUUGAACCUGUGCAACAGCAGCAAUCCAAGCUGCUGCGCUGACAAUGCCAUAUCCUUAACCUGCUGCGCCACAAGGAAACUCCAGCAAAUGCCUUUUUUAGGGAAGAGGGCAGCAGAAAGAUGGGGACAGGACAUCAGAAAAUGCUAUGAUUGUUUUUUAUUUUGACAAGAGUAACAAGGAAUCCCCCUACCACUCCGCUUCAUGUAAAAACACGUCUGGCAUCGUGAGCAGCAGUCCUCAGCGGAAGGUGACUGAGCCCCAGGAGCCCAGAAAGAAUCUUCAGCCACUGCUUCUGUGCUCCCUUCCUGUGUUCAGAGCCACUGGCCAUGACCACAGAUUCACCUUCUGAUUCUGUCUUGUUCUCUCUCUUUUUAUCUCUUUCAAGGCUUCAGUAAUACAGCAGAAGGAUCACUGUGUUGAAAGCAAGGACAAUCCUCAUAAGCAUAACCUUGGGGUGAACUCAGGAAGGCACACAAUAAAUUAAAGCAGACCCUGUCUCUUCGGAGGGUGUGCAGUGACCUCCAGGGUGGAGGCCAGAUCUGUCAGCACAGGUGUGGUGCUGGGGCCGCUGUGGGGAGGGGGAGCCCCUCCUUUAGGCAGUCGUGUGGCCCACAGGCCGAGCCAUCGGUAGGACCGAGUCCUCCCUUCUGCUCCUGCGCAGCCAGAAGGAGGAUGGUCCCCAUGGUGCUUGCUGGAGCCACAGCAGGGUUUGCACAAACCAUCUGGAUGGACGCCCCUCUUGAGCACUGGUGGCAAUUAGUCCACAGGACGCCCUCUACUGUUGACCUCAGUAAAUCACUUGGCAAACAUAAAACUGGAGGUUCUUGCUCAGUAAAACAAUAAAGUGCUUUUGA